CCUUUUACGAACUUCGACUGGGGUUAUUUUAUACCCAACAUCAGUCCCCCUACUUUUGAGUUCGGAUUCAGAAUGAAGGAAGUACAGAUAAAUUUUUACAGUCGAAGUUAUCCUCCUCGAUUUUUGUACUCGAUUGUUUCUAGAUAUUUUGGCGUUUGACGUGUUGGUGUUGGAGCCUUUUAAAAUGAGGUGAUCCGAAAAGAUUUUUUCAGAAUUUUUGCUGGAGCAUUGCUCCAGGUACGGUGCAAUAAUGAUUCUGUCAGUUGUCAGCCACCUUUAGCCGCCUGCCACGAUGAGUGGGCCACGUGGUGGUUAUAGAUCGGCCAGAGAAAAUCUACG
rnacentral:lncRNA from 1 species